AGCUCCAAUAGCGUAUACUAAAGUUGUUGCAGUUAAAAAGCUCGUAGUUGAAUUUCUGGUCUUGGACAGCGGUCUGCCUCAAAAGAGGUACGCACCAUCUAUCCGAGUCCAUCCUCGGGGAAAACAUGUGUGUGAUUCAGUUCAUGUGCAUGGGAUCCUCGUCAUUUACUGUGAGCAAAAUAGAGUGUUCAAAGCAGGCUUAUGCCGUUGAAUAUUUUAGCAUGGAAUAAUAAGAUAAGACCUUGGUCUAUUUUGUUGGUUUGUACUCCAAGGUAAUGAUUAAUAGGGACAGUUGGGGGUAUUCGUAUUCAAUUGUCAGAGGUGAAAUUCUUGGAUUUAUUGAAGACGAACUACUGCGAAAGCAUUUACCAAGGAUGUUUUCA
rnacentral:rRNA from 1 species